UGCUGCAGCCAUGUAGGUACCACAUAUAAAGGUUUGCUCUGUCUGCAGCAAGCCUCUGCACACUGAAGGGAGGAAACUGGAGUUAAAGACAACAAUGUGACCGGCAGCUGGACGUCUCCAUGAGCGCUUUAAGCAUUUUUGUAACAAUCAGGUGCAAAGAUCACACCAGCAGACAUUGUCAUGAAACAGCAGGAGAUAGACUGAAGCACUAUCUUCAGAUCAGGAAGGGGGCAGCACAUUCUGCUUCACAGCAAGAAGGUUUAAACCUGAAGGUGGGUGGAGCCUUUCUGUUCAAGGUUUUGUAAACUCCUCCUUGUUUUUUUCCUCCUGCUUGUUUCUUUCAACCCCCACAAGUUUUUGUGUUAUGUAUUUGCUUCGUUUGUCAUAAUCUUUAUCAGGUACAGUUUUUUUUAAAUAUCAUUUUAUGUUCUCUAUAAUGCAGCUUAGAAAUGCUGAAACAUUGUGAAACAUUCUGCCUUGGUUAAUAUAUAUGUAACAUUGUCCACCAUGCUCCUUAUUUCCUGCCGCAACUCCCCAAGCUUACAUCUGUAAGGUCUUACAUUACACACAUUAGAUCCUGACAUUCAUUGCCCUGAUUGGAUGGAUUCUGUUAAGUUGCCUCUGACAGAAUUAGGUCCCCAUCGGAAAUUGAGUGUGGUAAGACCAGUUAAGAUGGAGGUAAAGCAAGAACUGUGGCAUUAAUUCCUUUAGCUGUGCUGAUGCAAGCUCCUACUGGAUCCUGGACUGUGUAAAUCCAGCAGCCUCUGUUCUCAUUUGAACACUUUCAUUUAUCCACUUUUAAACACGUAGUCACAGAGUGGGUAAUAAACAGAUAUUCUGUGGAAGGUUAUCGUUUUUCAUGAGUCAAAGUAUAUGAAGUAAUAUAGGUAUCUAAUAAAUGCAGUAGGAAAUUAUAAGUUUUUUGUGUUUUGGCAACAUGAGCAACCACAGUAAGAGCUUUUGUGUUAUCUAUUUUGCUGAUUUUAAUGGGUACCUUCAGUCCAGAAAAGCUGAUAAUGAUGACCAUAAAUUAAAUCUUUGAACUUGGAUAAAACAGCUAGAACAAUUUUUGAAAUAAUAUUGAAAGGGAUUAGAACAGGGAUUUCUGGUCUCCUCCAGCAUCUCACUCCGUCUCAAAAAACAAAUCCACAACUGUGACGUUCCAUUCAUACGUUUCCCUGAUGUUGUGGGUUUUACUUGCUUUAGCUAUGUGUAGCACCACAUGUCAUGCUUCAGUUGCCUUGUCAUUUGCAGUGCUAGCACUACUGUCUGCUGUGACCUUAGUUCAUUUAGCCCUUUGUUAAAAACCCCCCCAAAAAACAAAAAAACCUCUUGGAAUUUUGCAAACACUGUAAGUGGAGCAUCUUCAGAACCAACCCAAGAAAAUACCAAUUUUAAAUAAUUAUGGUCAUACUUGUGCCAAAUUUUUAGUUACUUUGCUUGGCCCGGUCUCCUUACUCACUCUAACUUUAGAUACUAAGAACCAAUCAAUUUGAUAAAGUUUGCUAAAUUAUCAAAAUUACUUUUUUUGGUUUAUUUAUUUGUUUUUUUCAUUAUGUUGUGCCCCCCUGAAGCUCUCUGGUGACCCCCAGAGGGGGGCACGCCCCACACUUUGUAAAGCCCUGCUCUACAAUUUAUGAUUCUGCCCAACAAAUUGGUUCCCUCAUAUACUCCUGUUGUGGCAGACCUAUAAUUUUCACUCUAUAAAGYUGCAUAAAAAUAUUUUCUCUUGUGACUGUGGUGAAACCUAACCAUGGUUCUGUUUGGAGUACCUGCUGUUGGAGGAAAUACGCAAUUAGCUACCAGCUGCUGAACUAAGUUGGCUGCUGGAAGUUUAGUGGAACAUAGAACUGAAAGGGAAAGCAACACUAACAUUUCACAGGUUCCAUCUGCUACAAAUUCAUAUACCCUCGACAUGUUGGCAUAGCUGGUGCUCCAACAAGUUUGCAUUUCAAUGAAAGAGGCUGAUUGCUGAUACAGCAAGGUACUGGUGGUACCCAGGAACUUACAAUCUACCACUGUCCGAGAAAGGCAUGCAAAAGUGUGUUCUAUAUGCUGAAGAUGUUCGCUGUGAAAUGAUUCCCUUUGGUUCAACCACAAGGUGCUGUCACAUCAGACAUGAUCAGGAGUUAUUCACCAAUCACAUCUAGCAGGUUCCUUCUGAUGACUCAACUAUCAUGUCAGGGACGUCUGUUUUGACGAUGCUGUGCUGAGAGUUGAAGUAGACCAUGGACAGAGGCCGGCGCUCGGUGGGG